rnacentral:misc_RNA from 1 species
AAGUCGUAACAAGGUUUCCGUAGGUGAACCUGCGGAAGGAUCAUUACAAGUGAGGCCGCCGAACACCGAUCAAACGAGUACUAUCUAAUAGUUAAAA